AUGGAGGACAUGAGCACGCAGGUUGUAUCUCCUGCAGCGGCUGGCGUGAUGAGUGAAGUGGCUGUCCUAGUGAAUGCGCUGUCUAUUGUCAUCGAUCUUGGGCCACUCUUCGUCUUGCUUUUUCCAACUGACUGGAAGGAAGUGAGCAAGUUCUUCAGCCUCAAAUCUUUCAUACUUAGCACCGUGAUGAACUUCUUUCUGGCUUCACAUGUGCUGUUCGAGAUUGAUGAGAAGGACAAACAUCGUGAUGUCUUGUUUGUGUCUGUGGUGGGCUUUUGCACUGCUACAGUUUUCGCUUUCUUUCUUCUGGCCCAUCGUGGUGUCAUGAAAAACAGUCGCUGGGCACGGUGCUGGAUGGCUUAUAUCCUGCUGUGCUUUGUUAUCGCUUGCCUUGUGCUUCUGGGUGGCAUUUUUGUAGAGUUUCAGGGUUAUGGCCCAAUCAUAAGUGUGUUGGGUUUCCUAGUGGUGCUUGUAUUGAAUGCUGCUACUGUGGCCCCAGUUCUGACUUGCAAGCCCUUACCUGAUGACGAAGUUACGUUCUACACUGUCUUCAUGUCGUUCUUGAAUGCCCUUGAUUCCAGCUUUUUUGUGUUUUACGCUGUCUGCCUCGGAACGUUUGGCCGCUUUCUGUCGCUAGUCAGUUUGAUGAAUGCUUUGGGUGCACUUAUACUACUCAUUGGACUGAUUGUGACUGCACUACUGAAAGGGCUACGUCGACUUCUCAACUUCAUUUUCAGCUUUGGUGGCCACCACAGGAACGACUGA
rnacentral:rRNA from 1 species